UAGCUCCAGUGCAUUAAUGUGUGUCUAUCCUCCUCUGAAUCCUCUAACAACUGUCAUUUUUCUUUUUUAGGUCAUCUUUGUCAAUUUGUUGGGCAUGGAGUUGAAUGUCAGAGUUGUUUUAAUGUAAAUUCUAAUUAUUAUUACUGAUUUGGAGGAGUUUUCACACAGUUGUUGAUAUCUUGUUUUUCUUCCAUUGAAAACUGCCUGUUUAUAUCCUUUCACCUCUAUUGGUCCAUGUUCUUAUACAUAUAUAUCCUGGAUAACUGACCUUUAUCAGUGAGAUUUUCUGCAGAGACUACUGGACCUGGUAGCAUGUCAGCUGGAGGAGCCAGAGCAGGAGCCUAGUGACCUGCUUCACUCAGUUUUGUCUAGGGGUAAAGGUCUUAUUCACCCAUGUGGAAAUCUGGAGAGACUAAUGUGAACUGAUCCAGGGCAAAGUAAGCAGAACCAGGAGAACAAUUGACAAAAUGACUAUGAUAGCCAUCAAUCAUGACUUCAGAGGACUUGAUGGUGAAGCAUGUUUCCUGCAUUUAGACAGAAAGGAGGUGAACAAUAGGUGCAGAAUGAGGCUUCUGGGGUCCUUGGUGAGUAAAAUCUGACCACGCUCUAACCCUUCUGUGGAGGAAGUCACUCCUUGGUGGGCUGUUUAUGAGGUGUUCCCAAGGUUCCCUUGCUUUUUGGAAAUGAUGAACAGGCUGACUUCAGAAAAACCUGG